rnacentral:rRNA from 1 species
AGUCUGACGGAGCACGCCGCGUGAGUGAUGAAGGUUUUCGGAUCGUAAAACUCUGUUGUUAGGGAAGAACAAGUACCGGAGUAACUGCCGGUACCUUGACGGUACCUAACCAGAAAGCCACGGCUAACUACGUGCCAGCAGCCGCGGUAAUACGUAGGUGGCAAGCGUUGUCCGGAAUUAUUGGGCGUAAAGCGCGCGCAGGCGGUUCCUUAAGUCUGAUGUGAAAGCCCCCGGCUCAACCGGGGAGGGUCAUUGGAAACUGGGGAACUUGAGUGCAGAAGAGAAGAGUGGAAUUCCACGUGUAGCGGUGAAAUGCGUAGAGAUGUGGAGGAACACCAGUGGCGAAGGCGACUCUUUGGUCUGUAACUGACGCUGAGGCGCGAAAGCGUGGGGAGCAAACAGGAUUAGAUACCCUGGUAGUCCACGCCGUAAACGAUGAGUGCUAAGUGUUAGAGGGUUUCCGCCCUUUAGUGCUGCAGCAAACGCAUUAAGCACUCCGCCUGGG